rnacentral:rRNA from 1 species
GACGGAGGGUGCUAGCGUUGUUCGGAAUUACUGGGCGUAAAGGGCGCGUAGGCGGCCGCUCGCGUCGGAUGUGAAAGCCCGGGGCUCAACCCCGGAACGGCAUCCGAUACGGGGUGGCUGGAGACCGGGAGAGGAGGGUGGAAUAGCCAGUGUAGAGGUGAAAUUCGUAGAUAUUGGCUGGAACACCGGUGGCGAAAGCGGCUCUCUGGCCCGGUUCUGACGCUGAGGCGCGAAAGCGUGGGGAGCAAACAGG